CUGAUCGGCGCGUCCGGGUCAAUUGCGGACUGCAACACCCGAUCUCCCUCGCCGUUCCUCCCGACAGGGAGGUACGCGAGGGAGAGCGCGUGACAAUCAG
ncrna:unclassified sequences L4-Archaeoglobi ribosomal protein leader